rnacentral:misc_RNA from 1 species
ACACCUCAACUCUCAUGGUCUUCCAUGAUGAGCUUGGACUUUGGGGGUUUGCUGGCCUUGUGGCCAGCUCCUCUCAAAUGAAUCAGCUUGCCAGUGUUUGGCGGCGUCACGGGUGUGAUAACUAUCUACGCUCGUGGUCGUCCACCAGGUAACCCUCAGCGAUGAAGGUUCAUUGGGGCUCAUAAACGUCUCUCCCCAGCGAGGACAACUUUUGAAC